rnacentral:rRNA from 1 species
UACGGAGGAUCCGAGCGUUAUCCGGAUUUACUGGGUGUAAAGGGAGCGUAGACGGCUGAGCAAGCCUGAAGUGAAAGGCGGGGGCCCAACCCCUGGACUGCUUUGGGAACUGUACGGCUGGAGUGCAGGAGAGGUAAGUGGAAUUCCUAGUGUAGCGGUGAAAUGCGUAGAUAUUAGGAGGAACACCAGUGGCGAAGGCGGCUCUCUGGUCUGUAACUGACGCUGAGGUUCGAAAGCGUGGGUAGCAAACAGG